UGACGCAUUCUGGGAGGCCUAAACAACCACUUAUAUACUGUGGUAGGGAGAGAGCCUAUUGGCCACAUAGUUAAUAAGGGUGACGUUUUAACCACGACACACACCCCACUACACUUAACAUAGACAUUAGGAAAAAAAUAAGUUAAACAAUAUCACUUUCUCAAAAUGAAACCUUUUACUUAACAGUUGUCUGACCUGAGACCUGACAGCAAGUGAUUAAGGAGCAUCAAAUAUAAAUCAAAUACUGCAUUCUUUGAUCCAGUGUGCGCUCACUAGCUGCCUGUCUGGUCUUUAAGUUGUACCGCCAGCUGACUGCUGAGAACAAGAAGUUCAAUCAUAAACUAUGGCACCACUAGUGAAAAAAAGGCUCCGUUUUGUCACCUGGAACACACGUGGCAUUAAAAGCCCACCACAAAAGUUUUCAGAUUUGUUGAGCAGCCUCAUUUCCCUAAAGGCUCAUAUUGCCUUCAUACAAGAGACACAUGUUGGGCCAACAUGUUAACAAAUCUUGGAUGUUGAAAACUGGAAUGUCUACUUCACUGUACACAGCUCUCGCAGUAAAGGAGUGGCAAUACUGAUCUGCUAUGAUGGACCAUUUGAGUACAUUUGCCAUGAUGAGGAUUGCAGUGGAAGUUACAUUGUGCUCUUCUGUCAUCUGUAUGGUGAACUGUACACUCUUGUUAAUGUGUACAGUCAUAAGGCAGACAAAAAUGUCUUGGCUAGAUUGAAAGACUAUCUGAGGGAAACAGCUGAGGGUGUGCUAGUGGUUGGAGGUGAUUUCAACACUGUUUUGGAUCCCAGCUUUGAUCGGGUAUCUUCAGCUGUUCUCACAAAACAGUCUUCACUAAGAGCUAUUUUAGAAGACUUUACUAUUUCUUUGAAUCUCAGAGACACCUGGUCAUACCUUCACUCUGCUGAUGGAGGCUUUACACGACGUCAGAAUGAGAGUCACUCCAGGCUGGACAUGUUUUUCAUGUGCAGCGAUGCAAUGGGACGGGUGUGUAGUAGCAAAAUACAGAGCAAUGAAAUUUCAGAUCACAAGCCUCUUGUCCUAGAACUCAAAGUGCAGCAACAGACUGGAAAUAUAAUUCCAAAGGUAGCCUUGUUUUUGAAGGAAAUUAGAGUUGAUGAAGAACCUGACAGAAGAUCAGGGAAGAUUAAUGGGGCAGAAAUACUGAGUUCCAUCAAGUCUUUGAUUGACUCCAAUCAAACACUUGGUACAAUGGAUGUGGAUUACUAUAAAAAGUUUUGUUGUCACUUGACUGAGACCUUAAAGAGAAAGUAUAACUUCAUGUUAAAGAAUAAGCAGGUACCUGAAGCUUAUUAUUCAGGAGACAUUUUCAAUGUUGACUGUUCGAUAUUUUCAGAAAUAUUGGCCAAGCGCCUUAGUGUGAAAUUAGGUGGUCCUUCCUGGAACAAACCCUCAGGAGACUAAAACAGAUAUCAUCUGUCCCUCCACUAGACUUCAGCAUUCUGGACUGCCUUCUUCCUAAAGUCCAAAACUUUUCAGGAGAACUCAGACGUCUGCGGCCUGGCAUUCCCGUCACCAACGCUAUCCUCAAUCUAGCUCUGACACAGCUAGAAGAUCUGAUUCUCAGAAGUGAAACAGAGUGCACCAGUGUUUCCUUUCACAGACAGGCACUGCUCAUACAUGCAGACCAGAGCAAACGGGGGAAAGUUGUUAGGGU